CUAUUUAACUAGAGGCUGGGAGAGGCAAGCGGAAUUCCGGUGUAGUAGUAAAAUGCGUUAAUAUCGGUAAGAACACCAAAAGCGAAGGCAGCUUGCUAGAACAGUCCUGACAUUCAUGGACGGAAGCGUGGGGAGCGAAUGGGAUUAGAUACCCCAGUAGUCCACGCCGUAAACUUUGGAUACUAAAUAUUGGAAGUAUCGACCCUUCCAGUGUUGUUUACCUAAGCUAACGCCUUAAGUAUCCCGCCUGGGAAGUACGGCCGCAAGGCUAAAACUCAAAGGAAUUGACGGGAACCCGCACAAGCGGUGGAGCAUGUGGUUUAAUUCGAUGGUAAGCGGGGAACCUUACCAAGGCUUGACAUAUAGUUGCAAAUCCUAAGAAAUUAGGACUCCUACGAGGGUACUAUACAGGUGCUGCAUGGUUGUCGUCAGCUCGUGUCGUGAGAUGUUGGGUUAAGUCCUUUAACGAGCGCAACCCUUAUCCUAUGUUAAAUGAUCAUAGGAGACUGCCCCGGUUUAACGGGGAGGAAGGUGAGGAUGACGUCAAAUCAGCAUGGCUCUUACGCCUUGGGCAACACACGUGCUACAAUGGCUGGUACAAUGGGUAGCAAAAUCGCAAGAUGAAGCCAAUCCCAUCAAAAUCAGUCUCAGUUCGGAUUGAAGUCUGCAACUCGACUUCAUGAAGUUGGAAUCGCUAGUA
rnacentral:rRNA from 1 species